rnacentral:tmRNA from 1 species
GGGGGUGAUCGGUUUCGACGUUGAUCGCCGUCGCAGGAGAAGCGGGUCGAGGAUGCACGGUUAUCUCGUUAACGAUCCGUGCAAAACCAAUAGGUGCCAACUCACAGCGCACCGACUUCGCUCUCGCCGCCUGAGGCGAUCGAAGUCCGUCAGCCUGAGCUCGUUCUCGUCUCAGUGUCUGGCGUCAGCUAGAGAACUUGCUGCAGCGUCAGGUCACGGGGCGCUGCGGGACUUUUACGUGACUGGGCCUGUCAGGGGACGUGUGCGCGCGAGCCCUGGGGCCGAGAAAAUCCGUAGCGCACUGCACCCGGAGAAGUCCUGUCUCGCCGUCAGCGGACGCGGGUUCGAUUCCCGCCACCUCCACCA